GCUAAGUCUGAGGCGGGAGCCGGAGGAAAACGGCGGGUGAAAGCUGUAGACGGAAGGAAUGGGCGUAAAGCGUGCGUAGGGGGGUGGUCAAGUUGGCGGUAAAAGACUGGGGCUUAACCCGGGAAAGGGCGUGGAAACGGAGGAGGUAGAGUGCAGUAGGGGUAGAGGGGAUACCCGGUGUAGCGGUGAAAGGCGUAGAGCUCGGGAAGAACAUCGGGGGCGAAAGCGCUCUACUGGACUGCAACUGACACUCAGGGACGAAAGCUAGGGGGGCGAAUGGGAUUAGAUACCCUGGUAGUC
rnacentral:rRNA from 1 species